AUACGGGGGCUGCAAGCGUUAUUCGGAAUCAUUGGGCGUAAAGGGCACGCAGGCGGUUCUGUCAGUCAGAUGUGAAAGCCCGGGGCUUAACCCCGGACGUGCAUUUGAAACAGCAGGACUUGAGUAUGGUAGAGGAAAGCGGAAUUCCUGGUGUAGAGGUGAAAUUCGUAGAUAUCAGGAGGAACACCGGUGGCGAAGGCGGCUUUCUGGACCAAAACUGACGCUGAGGUGCGAAGGCGUGGGUAGCGAACAGGAUUAGAAACCCUAGUAGUCC
rnacentral:rRNA from 1 species